rnacentral:rRNA from 1 species
AGUGAACGCUGGCGGUAGGCCUAACACAUGCAAGUCGAACGGCAGCACAGGAGAGCUUGCUCUCUGGGUGGCGAGUGGCGGACGUGUGAGGAAUACAUCGGAAUCUACUUUUUCGUGAGGGAUAACGUAGGGAAACUUACGCUAAUACCGCAUACGACCUACGGGUGAAAGCAGGGGAUCUUCGGACCUUGCGCGAUUGAAUGAGCCGAUGUCGGAUUAGCUAGUUGGCGGGGUAAAGGCCCACCAAGGCGACGAUCCGUAGCUGGUCUGAGAGGAUGAUCAGCCACACUGGAACUGAGACACGGUCCAGACUCCUACGGGAGGCAGCAGUGGGGAAUAUUGGACAAUGGGCGCAAGCCUGAUCCAGCCAUACCGCGUGGGUGAAGAAGGCCUUCGGGUUGUAAAGCCCUUUUGUUGGGAAAGAAAUCCAGCUGGUUAAUACCCGGUUGGGAUGACGGUACCCAAAGAAUAAGCACCGGCUAACUUCGUGCCAGCAGCCGCGGUAA